AGUGCAAAUCAAAAACAAUAACAUCGUGUGUUUUUUAUGAAGUUUUUAACAAAAAUGGUCUUCUAUUGUUGCAUUGGUUGCUGUAAACGUAACUCUAGAGACGACAAUGAAUCUUAAUUUUUUCGGCUACCAAAUGAUCCGGAAAUUCGCGCAACGUGGACCAGAUUUGCUGUGGAAGUCCAUUGAGAGUUCAAAUUAAGUUCUGGGAUUUGUACCGAUUAUUUUUUAAAAAAGUGCAUUUUGAAGACAUAUCCGAGUGUGCUGCUGCUUAUAAAUGCGAUUCCAACAAUCCUAGAAAGCAAAAGAGGUGUCACAGAGCCUGCAGAGGGAUGUCCAAGAGAAUGUGCCGACUGUGAGAACAGCGAUAGAAGUUCAGGUCACGCAAACAUCUGUUUGACCGAGAAAGAGCAAAAUGCUUCACCAGACGUGCAAAACUUUACUGUAUUUAUUACUUUUAUGCAAUCUGCAUAAGACUUGGUGUUGCAUCCGAGCCAG